AUGAACGCUGGCGGCGUGCCUAAUACAUGCCAGUCGAGCGAACAGACGAGGAGCUUGCUCCUCUGACGUUAGCGGCGGACGGGUGAGUAACACGUGGAUAACCUACCUAUAAGACUGGGAUAACUUCGGGAAACCGGAGCUAAUACCGGAUAAUAUAUUGAACCGCAUGGUUCAAUAGUGAAAGACGGUUUUGCUGUCACUUAUAGAUGGAUCCGCGCCGCAUUAGCUAGUUGGUAAGGUAACGGCUUACCAAGGCGACGAUGCGUAGCCGACCUGAGAGGGUGAUCGGCCACACUGGAACUGAGACACGGUCCAGACUCCUACGGGAGGCAGCAGUAGGGAAUCUUCCGCAAUGGGCGAAAGCUGGACGGAGCAACGCCGCGUGAGUGAUGAAGGUCUUCGGAUCGUAAAACUCUGUUAUUAGGGAAGAACAAAUGUGUAAGUAACUAUGCACGUCUUGACGGUACCUAAUCAGAAAGCCACGGCUAACUACGUG
rnacentral:rRNA from 1 species